rnacentral:rRNA from 1 species
GUGGAUUAGAUACCCGGGUAGUCCACGCCGUAAACGAUGUCGACUUGGAGGUUGUUCCCUUGAGGAGUGGCUUCCGGAGCUAACGCGUUAAGUCGACCGCCUGGGGAGUACGGCCGCAAGGUUAAAACUCAAAUGAAUUGACGGGGGCCCGCACAAGCGGUGGAGCAUGUGGUUUAAUUCGAUGCAACGCGAAGAACCUUACCUACUCUUGACAUCCAGAGAACUUAGCAGAGAUGCUUUGGUGCCUUCGGGAACUCUGAGACAGGUGCUGCACGGUCGUCGCCAACU